rnacentral:rRNA from 1 species
GACGAACGCUGGCGGCGUGCUUAACACAUGCAAGUCGAACGAAGUGGCGAACGGGUGAGUAAUACGUGGGUAACCUGCCCUCCUUUUUUGGAUAAGCCUUGGAAACGGGGUCUAAUACCGAAUAAAGGGGGAUGUGCUCGCGGCCUAUCAGCUUGUUGGUGGGUGGAUGGCCUACCAAGGCGGUGACGGGUAGCCGGCCUGAUAGGGUGACAGGCCACAGUGGGAUUGGGAUACGGACAAAACGCCUACGGAAAGCAGCAGUGGGGGAUAUUGAACGAUGGGCGAAAGCCUGAUGCAGAGACGAAGAGGGGGGGAUGAAGGCUAUCGGGUUGUAAAACUCUUUCGCUAUCGAAAGGGUAGGUGGAGAAGAAGAGGCGGCUAACUACGUGCCAGCAGCCGCGGUAAUAA